AUCCCUACGGGGGGCAGCAGUGGGGAAUAUUGGGCAAUGGGCGCAAGCCUGACCCAGCAACGCCGCGUGAAGGAAGAAGGCUUUCGGGUUGUAAACUUCUUUUAUCAGGGACGAAGCAAGUGACGGUACCUGAUGAAUAAGCCACGGCUAACUACGUGCCAGCAGCCGCGGUAAUACGUAGGUGGCAAGCGUUAUCCGGAUUUACUGGGUGUAAAGGGCGUGUAGGCGGGAGUGUAAGUCAGAUGUGAAAACUAUGGGCUCAACCCAUAGCCUGCAUUUGAAACUGUACUUCUU
rnacentral:rRNA from 1 species